UACGGAGGGUGCAAGCGUUAUCCGGAUUCACUGGGUUUAAAGGGUGCGUAGGAGGGCAGGUAAGUCAGUGGUGAAAUCCCCGAGCUUAACUUGGGAACUGCCGUUGAUACUAUCUGUCUUGAAUAUUGUGGAGGUAAGCGGAAUAUGUCAUGUAGCGGUGAAAUGCUUAGAUAUGACAUAGAACACCAAUUGCGAAGGCAGCUUGCUACACAACUAUUGACUCUGAUGCACGAAGGCCAGGGGAGCAAACGGG
rnacentral:rRNA from 1 species